AUCAUCACUUGCAAAGUGUCUGGGGUCUUUGGCUGGAGUCUGCUACUCAUGUCUGAAUAUGGCUAAAGGAGUGACUUGGCUUUUCUAGGCUCCAGUUCUUUAAAUACUAAAUAAGAGCAACAUAGUGGACAACUAGAUAUCCAACCACGUAACUUGGUGACUUGGAAGUUCUUGUGUCUAUGCUUCAUGGAUGGGAAUAGCCCUACGACAGACACAGCAGGAAGGCCUGGGAUGAGUGGAGUGAUCAAACACCAAGGCAGAGACUUUCUUUCUCUAAGACAGAUGGAUUUGCCUUGGAUCUUCAAGAACCAAAGGAUGAGCAUCCACAGGUUUUCAAGUGCUAGCACACAGAGAAACAGGCUCUGUAGUAUUCGGUGCUAGCCUUUCUGUCCCUAAAGCUGUAUGGUUUUUUCCAUCUGCAACAUUGGUCUUUCAGCAUGUUGAAGAGCUCUCUGGAUGCCCAGGACUUCAAACAUACAAAUGCAUGAUUGACUGUUCCAACCCUUUACUCAUCAAGGGAUGUUCCAUCAACCUUCUAAGCAUUCUAUAUUAAUGACAUUUUAUUCUCAACAUUUUAUUCUCAUUUUAUUUGUUUGAUACAACAGACAACUGACUCCUCACUUCCAUGUUACAGAUAUAGAAGGUGAGAGGAUAAACACAAGCAGGGGAAAGGUGUUGCAACAG
rnacentral:lncRNA from 1 species